rnacentral:rRNA from 1 species
UUGACCUCGAUCAGGUAGGAUACACGCUGACUUAAAG